CUCUCUCUCACACACACACACACACACACAGCCCGUCUCGCGCCUGAGGUCUCGCCCGCAGGCCGGUGGCGCGGGGUCAGCUGCUGCCUGCGGUCCAGGACAGGGUCGGUUCCGCCGCGCAGCGCCCAGGCCCAGCUCGUCCAGAGUCUGCGGACAGCGCACGUCCAGGCACUUUCCCACACAGGAUGGAGCCGGGCCACCCUCACAGCUCCUGCCCUGCAGACGCUGGCCUUGUGGAGGGAGGCAGGCAGCAGUGCUUUCUGGGCCUCUGUAGCCAGAGCUGGCCCUGCUGCAGCUUACGUCUGCCUGCAGCCCAGACGUCCUCCUGGUCCUCCUGAUGCCCCCGACCUCCACGGAGGACGAGCAUUUCCAGCCCAGCCCUCCCCAUCUUCACCUCGCACUCCCCUGACACACUGGGAGCCUCCUGAUCCGUGAACCCGCGCUGGCGGGAGUAGCUACUGACCGCUGGGGACCCCUGCCCAGGCUGUUCGCAUGUGGAAAGGAUUCAGGGAGCAGGCGAUGCCCAAAGCGUGGAGACCAGCACUGCUCUCUCCCCAGUGACAGGUGCACGCCCAGAUCACGGAUGUGUCGGGAACAGCUGUGCUCCUGCUGCUCAGCGUCCGUCACUCCAGGCUGGGAGCGGGUCCCCAAGCUUCUGGCUGGGCCUAUCCGUCUCCACUCUCAGUGUGGGGGUGGGGGGCGCCAACAGCACGCAUUUGCUCUCUGCACUUCUCGUCUGAUAAUGGGCAGAGGGUCCUUCUGCAGCCCCAAAACAUCCCUAGGCAGGAGCCCUGGGGCCCCAAGCAGCCAGGGAGGUGAGCACCAAGGACCUCCCAGAGAGCGUCACCUUCCGUCGAGGGAGGCCCAGCCUGGGGGCGGUGUCUGAGACUUGGAAUCAACGCUUCCGUUGGUGGCAGUAAAUCCUGUCCCUAACCCUGCAGUACAGCUGUGCCGUGUACAGGAGGGUGCUGUCUGACGCCAGACACCUGGACUACAGAUCGCAGCCUGAUUCCUGGUCAUUGCUCCACUGAACCCCAGACCCCAGCCUCGUUCUGGGCCCUCAUCCCCUAGAUCCAGGGACCCCAGCCCCAUUUCAGCCCUUGGGCCCUUGUAGGAUGCGAGGCCCUGGGCCCCAGCCCCCAGCCCAUCCGUGGCCCAGGCACUGGGGGGCUGAGGUCCUCUGAGAAGGGACACAGGGCCUGGGGGGCUCUCUCAGCCCAUCAGCAGGAGAGGACUGACUCCAGAAAAAUCAGCGUUUGUACCCACUCAGGCUGCCAAGACCUGUGUCCGUCCUUCCAAGCUCAACCUUCAGAGUUCAUGAGGCCCCUUGCCCAGAAUGUCCACAGAGUUCAUGAGGCCCCUUGCCCGGAAUGUCCACAUUUGAAACCUCCCAACACCGAGCCCCAUUUCAAGUAUAACCAGGAGGGAAAAUGGUGCUUGAAAUAAGCAUGCCACAAAGGAAAACCUGCUUUCUCGAAAUGGGCCCUGGCCGCCCAGGCCCUGACCUCCCCGGCCAGGAUGGAACGUUCCAGAGACCCAUUAGUGCCAAAGGCAAAUGAAAACACACCCUGUGAAAAUGUC
ensembl:lncRNA CEROX1 cytoplasmic endogenous regulator of oxidative phosphorylation 1